UGGACAAUUUAUUUUGGUGACAAUAUUGGA
rnacentral:piRNA from 1 species